AUUAACACAAUGUAAUAACGUAAAGGGACACUGUAGGCACUGUGUCUGGUUCAGCUCAUUGAAUUGGUUAUAGUGUCUUGUGUCCAUUGGAGUCAUCCUUUCAUUCAGCGUUAUACAGUUUUUAUGCUACACAAGAGUCUCCAGCUGCCUAUGCCCAUCUCUAUGUUGCUCAGGCUAAUGAGGAAGUAUUACUCGGAGCAGCAAUGGGAAGCUGUGAAUGGUUGAGAGUGUCAUCUGACUGUUUAACCCAUGGGUCCUCAAACUCC